GCGCCCGUAGCUCAGCUGGAUAGAGCGUUAGCCUCCGGAGCUAAAGGCCGUAGGUUCGAACCCUACCGGGCGCACCA
rnacentral:tRNA from 1 species